ensembl:miRNA mir-1820 ncRNA
UUCAAAAAUUGCAUUUUCCAUCUUUUGAUUGUUUUUCGAUGAUGUUCGUUAAAUCGGUAUAAGCGAACCAUUGUAAACAAUCAAAGAAUGGAGAAUCAAUUUAUGAU